GCUAUUUUGGCAGAAAAGUGUAAUGAUUUUAGAAUUCAUUCAUAUAUAAUUUAUUAUAUAUAUAGUA
rnacentral:tRNA from 1 species